CACGUAGGGGGCAAGCGUUGUCCGGAUUUACUGGGCGUAAAGAGCUCGUAGGCGGUUCGGCAAGUCGGGUGUGACAACUCCAGGCUCAACCUGGAGAGGUCACUCGAUACUGCUGUGACUAGAGUCCGGUAGGGGAGCAUGGAAUUCCCGGUGUAGCGGUGAAAUGCGCAGAUAUCGGGAGGAACACCAGUGGCGAAGGCGGUGCUCUGGGCCGGAACUGACACUCAGGGACGAAAGCUAGGGGAGCGAAUGGG
rnacentral:rRNA from 1 species